AUCAUUAAGGGUAUUUUAGAGCAUUUUAAAUUUCAUUAAAGGUGAUAUCGAAAAUCUCACUAUUCCCCCUUAUUCCCACAUUUAUAUAUAUGAAAUGACCCAAAAAUUAAUUUUCAUAAAUUUCUUAUUUAAAAUAAAAUUUUAAUAUUAACUAUUGAGAUUGUACAAUAAAAUAUUUUAUAUUACUUAGUCGGACUCAUAAACCAGUUUGAAAUAUUCAAAAUCAAGUGAAAAUUGGACUAAACCGUUGAUUUGGACCAAAUCCGAUUUGAAUCGAACUGGAUCAGCCCAGAGAACCCCAGAAGCAUCUUUUUCCUUCUUUUUCUUUUCUUUCUCUUCUUCUUCUUCAUUCCAGCACUGGUCAGCCUUUCUUCCUCUCUCUCUCUUUGUUUUCUAACCACUUGAGAUAGGUUCGAUGCACCAUCUUUGCGACGACCAUCGCUUCUUGAUUUUGUUGGGAAAAAAUAUUAAAAACAACGAUAGUAGGAAGAGAAAAUGAGAUUAAGGCUGCAGAUACUUUAUUACUUCUUGGCUAACUACAUCAAAAAUAGCUAUA
rnacentral:lncRNA from 1 species